UAGGGAAUCUUCCGCAAUGGGCGAAAGCUUGACGGAGCAACGCCGCGUGAGUGAUGAAGGUCUUCGGAUCGUAAAACUCUGUUAUUAGGGAAGAACAAAUGUGUAAGUAACUAUGCACGUCUUGACGGUACCUAAUCAGAAAGCCACGGCUAACUACGUGCCAGCAGCCGCGGUAAUACGUAGGUGGCAAGCGUUAUCCGGAAUUAUUGGGCGUAAAGCGCGCGUAGGCGGUUUUUUAAGUCUGAUGUGAAAGCCCACGGCUCAACCGUGGAGGGUCAUUGGAAACUGGGAAACUUGAGUGCAGAAGAGGAAAGUGGAAUUCCAUGUGUAGCGGUGAAAUGCGCAGAGAUAUGGAGGAACACCAGUGGCGAAGGCGACUUUCUGGUCUGUAACUGACGCUGAUGUGCGAAAGCGUGGGGAUCAAACAGG
rnacentral:rRNA from 1 species